rnacentral:rRNA from 1 species
CCCUUAGAUGUUCUGGGCUGCACGCGCGCUACACUGAAGCUAUCAACACGUUUUCCCUCCCUGAGAAGGGCGGGUAACCUUUUGAAUCAGCUUCGUGGUAGGGAUCGGGGCUUGCAAUUGUUCCCUGUGAACCAGGAAUUCCUAGUAGACGCGAGUCAUAAGCUCGCAUCGAUUAAGCCCCUGCCCUUUGUACACACCGCCCGUCGCUACUACCGAUUGAACGUUUUAGUGAGGCAUUUGGACCGACGCAUCUCAGUUUAACCGCUGGUUUGUGUUGGAAAGACUUCCAAACUUGAGCGUUUAGAGGAAGUAAAAGUCGUAACA